rnacentral:rRNA from 1 species
UACGGGGGGAGCAAGCGUUGUUCGGAUUUACUGGGCGUAAAGGGCGCGUAGGCGGCCACCGCAAGUCGAUUGUGAAAUCUCCGGGCUUAACCCGGAAAGGUCAACCGAUACUGCGUGACUAGAGGUAGGUAGGGGAGAUCGGAAUUCCUGGUGUAGCGGUGAAAUGCGCAGAUAUCAGGAGGAACACCGGUGGCGAAGGCGGAUCUCUGGGCCUUACCUGACGCUCAGGCGCGAAAGCUAGGGGAGCGAACAGG